UACGUAGGCAGCAAGCGUUGUUCGGAGUUACUGGGCGUAAAGGGUGUGUAGGCGGUUCUUUAAGUUUGGUGUGAAAUCUCCCCGGCUUAACCGGGAGGGUGCGCCGAAUACUGAGGGACUAGAGUACGGGAGAGGAAAGUGGAAUUCCUGGUGUAGCGGUGAAAUGCGUAGAUAUCAGGAGGAACACCGGUGGUGUAGACGGCUUUCUGGACCGUAACUGACGCUGAGACACGAAAGCGUGGGUAGCAAACAGG
rnacentral:rRNA from 1 species